rnacentral:tRNA from 1 species
GGGGGAGUGUCGGAAUUGGCAGACGAGGCAGACUUAGGAUCUGUUGGAGGUUCACUCCGUGGGGGUUCAAGUCCCCCCUUCCCCA